rnacentral:rRNA from 1 species
GGAAUCGCUAGUAAUCGCGGAUCAGCAUGCCGCGGUGAAUACGUUCCCGGGCCUUGUACACACCGCCCGUCACACCAUGGGAGUUGGCUUUACCCGAAGGCGCUGCGCUAACUCGCAAGAGAGGCAGGCGACCACGGUAGGGUCAGCGACUGGGGUGAAGUCGUAACAAGGUAGCCGUAGGGGAACCUGCGGCUGGAUCACCUCCUUUCUAAGG